CCUACGGGACGCAGCAGUGGGGAAUAUUGCACAAUGGGGGAAACCCUGAUGCAGCAACGCCGCGUGAGUGAAGAAGUAUUUCGGUAUGUAAAGCUCUCUCAGCAGGGAAGAAAAUGACGGUACCUGAGUAAGAAGCCCCGGCUAACUACGUGCCAGCAGCCGCGGUAAUACGUAGGGGGCAAGCGUUAUCCGGAUUUACUGGGUGUAAAGGGAGCGUAGACGGCGAUGCAAGUCUGAAGUGAAAGCCCGGGGCCCAACCCCGGGACUGCUUUGGAAACUGCCAUGCUAGAGUGCUGGAGAGGUAA
rnacentral:rRNA from 1 species